rnacentral:rRNA from 1 species
GAUGAACGCUGGCGGCGUGCUUAAGACAUGCAAGUCGAACGGAGUGUGUAGCAAUACUCACUAAGUGGCGAAUGGGUGAGUAACACGUAGGUGACCUGCCCUGAAGUGCGGAAUAACAGUCCGAAAGGAUUGCUAAUACCGCAUGUGGUCCCGGGCGUUAGAGAACCGGGUCUAAAGCAGUAAUGCGCUUCAGGAGGGGCCUGCGGUCCAUCAGCUAGUUGGUAGGGAAUGGCCUACCAAGGCAACGACGGAUAGGGGACCUGAGAGGGUGGCCCCCA